rnacentral:misc_RNA from 1 species
UAAGGGUACCGAUGCUGUUGAUAUGUUGGAAGGAAAAUCAUAUAAGCUACAGUUUCCAUGGAUUGGUGUUGUCAAUCGUUCACAAGCUGAUAUCAACAAAAAUGUGGAUAUGAUUGCUGCUAGGCGUAGGGAGAGAGAGUACUUUUCUAGUACCCCUGAGUACCGGCAUCUUGCUAACAGAAUGGGUUCAGAACAUCUUGGGAAAGUUCUGUCAAAACAUUUGGAGUCUGUUAUCAAGUCUCGGAUUCCAGGUCUCCAGUCUCUUAUCAACAAAACUAUAAUUGAGCUAGAAACUGAGUUGAGCCGUCUUGGAAAGCCCAUUGCCACGGAUGCGGGAGGAAAAUUGUACAUGAUAAUGGAAAUCUGUCGUAGUUUUGAUGGAAAUUUCAAAGAACAUCUUGAUGGAGUUCGA